GAUGAAGAACGUAGCGAAAUGCGAUAAGUAAUGUGAAUUGCAGAAUUCAGUGAAUCAUCGAAUCUUUGAACGCACAUUGCGCCCGCCAGUAUUCUGGCGGGCAUGCCUGUCCGAGCGUCAUUUCAACCCUCGAACCCCUCCGGGGGGUCGGCGUUGGGGACCUCGGGAGCCCCUAAGACGGGAUCCCGGCCCCGAAAUACAGUGGCGGUCUCGCCGCAGCCUCUCCUGCGCAGUAGUUUGCACAACUCGCACCGGGAGCGCGGCGCGUCCACGUCCGUAAAACACCCAACUUCUGAAAUGUUGACCUCGGAUCAGGUAGGAAUACCCGCUGAACUUAAGCAUAUCAAUAAGCGAGA
rnacentral:misc_RNA from 1 species